rnacentral:lncRNA from 1 species
UUUUUCUCAACCAAAUCUCUUCGUCUCCUAUUCUUCUCUUUUAGCUCUUCUUGCAUGUCGAUCUCCCUUACUUGCAACUCUCUCUCUCGUUUCCUUUAUCCUUCUCUCACUCUUUGUUCCCUCAAUCUCCCCUCUUCCCUCGAGUGGCCUUCCUUCACUCUCCUCGUGUCAAUCUCUCUUUCAUGCCACUUUCAAUUCCCC